AGUUAAGCAUAUUGUAGCUUCCAAGUACAGAAUAUUGUCUAAACCAGUAUCUGGGAAAAAUAUUCUGCCCAAUGAUUGGGACAAUGUAUGCCAUAUAUGUUCUUUGCAUAGUCUCAUAAAAAGAACCUGUUGACAGACUAGGCUACUGUCACGGCAUAGAUCGGUUCGCUGAGCAGUCUUCGACAAAGAAUAAGGUUAGGGAAUAUCCUCGAGGUUUAGAUUUGUGAUGGAAGUAGAGGUUGAAAUAGGACAAUCUAGAGACACCUACAGACACCAACACCACAAAAGGCGAGCAGUCUUCGACAAAGAUUAAGGUUAGGGAAUAUCCACGAGGUUUAGAUAUGUGACAGAAAUAGAGGUUGAAAUACAAUCUAGAGACACCUACAGACACCAACACCACAAAAGAAUUCGAGGGUGGAGGUUCCAAUGGUGGCCAAGGUCUUGAGUAUAUUGAUGUAUGUAUACAAGAAAACCCUUAAGAAUACUAAAGCAUCGAAGUUUUGAUUUUCUACUUUUACAAACAAAACAAAAUGACCAAAAUCAUAUGAAAAAAGUAAGAACUCAAAAUCUACCUUCAUUGAAACUAAACAAAACAAGGAUAAAAGAGCAAGAAAGCAAUCAUUUAGACAGACCAAACAAAUGAAAACAUACUUUACUUUGUGCAUGUUUGAGUCCACGUGUUGCAAAUUAAUUGGCUGACCUGUAUGUAGGUGUGGAUCCUAUCCCUAUCCAUCCAUCCGUAGAUAAUUGCACUUAUGAACCAUAGUAUAUAAUUUGCGAAAAACACGGUCAUGCUAGUGUUAUUCUAGUAGCCUUCGUGAUUAUAGCCUGCUUGACAAAAAUUAUUGACAAAGAGAAGAAGAAGGAUUCAUUUCAUGGCUUCUUCAAAGCUUCAAGCUUUUCUGAAUCAUCCAGCUGGCCCCAAAACAGGUGAGUUGCCAUUUUCGCUUGUUAUGUUCAUUGUUGGAUGUUUGAUGAGUGUAGGUAGCAUACUGUAGGCCUUUUGGAGAUCAAAAUGAUCAUUUAUAAUUUCAUGUCUAUGCACACACUUGGGUUUAUUUAUAAGAGAGAUGACUUUAACUUAAUGUUUUUGGAUAGAGAUGUGGCGUCUCCCUGUUUUAUGAUCCUAAAGCAUUUGACUUGAUGUUUCUUCCGAGCUUCCCUGGACUCCCCAACAAUGCAUAAUUGUGUAUAGGCAUGGCAAUGGGUACCCGCGGGUACGGUUUUUACCUUCCNNNNNNNNNNNNNNNNNNNNNNNNNNNNCCCGAAUCAUUGAUAAAUACCCAUUCCCCGCCCAUUACCCGACGGGGAUGAAAAAUUGAACCCAAUCCCCGUCCCAAAUGGGUUCGGGUAUACCCAAAUGGGUUCGGGUAUCCCCGAACCUUGCCCUGCCCUACUGAACCUUACCCGAACCCAAAAUUUUUCUAAACGCUAAAUUUUCCUAAACGCUGACAUACAUACAAUAUAAAAAAUUUUAAAUAAUAAAGUACAAACCAAAAUUUCAAUGCAUUAAACAUACAAAUGAAAUGAUAUUCAAAAAUAUCAAACCAAAAUUAUCAAAACCAUAAAAUAGU
rnacentral:lncRNA from 1 species